rnacentral:misc_RNA from 1 species
AACACUGUUAACCUGCGGUACCUGCGGAAGGAUCAUUAUUGAAUAAGCUUGGUCAAGCUGUUGCUGGUCCUUCGGGACAUGUGCACGCUUGCCACCAAUUUUAACCACCUGUGCACUUUUUGUAGACUUGGAAACGUUUCUCGAGGCAACUCGGAUUGAGAACUGCUGGCGCAAGUCGGCUUUUCUUAUGUUUUCUCAGUCUAUGUUUUCAUAUACACCUAAUGUAUGUAUCAGAAUGUA